rnacentral:lncRNA from 1 species
AGAUUAUGUGAAAUCAAAACACAUCUCCCUGGAAGUUCCCCUUGUGGCUCAGUGGUAAUGAACCUGACUAGUAUCCUUGAGGAUGCAGGUUCAAUCCCUGGCCUCGCUCAUGACAACACACAUACUUUACCAGGCUGGCUUGAAUAUUAUAAGCAAUAAUCCAUGUGAUGCACCUGUCACAGUGCAAGGCAUGCUUUGAGUGCAUAAAUAAGCUUUAGGCAUUAUUACUGUUUUCUGUGACGCUCUGGAGCAGGACAUGCAACGGUCUGUAAACUACGAGAGAGGACAACUUCUCCUCCUUCCCAAAGGGACUCAGCAAAAUUGGGAGCUCGCCCCAGCAAGAUUGGGAGCAACUGCUGUGGGAUGCAAAUCAAGAAAUCUUUAAAAGAGGAGAGUGAGUGAGCUUAUGCAGAAAAAUUACACAGGGCUGUCUGAUGGCUGGUAAGAGCACUCUCAAAGGUCCCCAGACCAAAGCAUAUUGUGAUUCCAAAGAACACUGUGAUUCCAAGAACACUUAGCAAAGAAUACUGAGGUUUUAUAUAUUUCUCCUAACCAGAUCCACUGUUUCUCCUUGUUCAAAUUCCCUCCGUGACCUCUUCCCCUCUGGAACUUCCUCAACAGACAUGGAUACCAGGUUGAGACAGAGAGAGUCAAGGAUGUCUCCUUCAUAGAGUAAGAAGACGCCCUGAAGAACAAGGCUGGGCUGAUGCACAGGAGAGGGUAGGCAGGGUGACCCUAGGGUCACAGGAGCACAGUAGUAAAAUCACAGAGACCAACUGAGCACACAUUCUUCCAGCAGCUGCUUCCUAACAAAGGUUAUCCUGAGACAUGUGUAAUCAAGAAUCAAUAAAAGGAAAAGGUGGUGGUGGGUAGUUAGUUAUUCCUCAAGAAGCAAAAAAAAAAAAAAAAAAAAAACCACAAAUGUGAAUAGAAUAUGUGCAUGCACAUAAGAAGAAUUAAAGCCAUGCUUGGUACACUUAGAGAAAAUUACAUUCCUGGCUUCAGACAUGUAUACUCUGCUGUGCUCAGAAACUCAAGAGUGAGAAGUAUUCUGUCAAUGACCCCAGCUCUUGAAAAUACAAGUGCCAUACAGAAAGAGAACACCGUACACUCGAUAAAGAGGAGGGCUGGAGAGAGAUAUUAUCUUCAUCCAAAGGGCUAGCUGCACUUUCCUUCCUAAAAGCAAAUCAAAACCAUUCAUCUAUCAUAACUGUUCUUCAGACUGCAUGUCUGGCCCACACCUGAAAUUUUCUUUAUUCUUUGAGGAGAAGACACAGAUGCACAGGGCUGCCCCACCAGAAAAGUUAAAUAAAAAACUAAGCUUAGCUCACUCCUUAGCUAACAGCAGGCAUAGCCCAGAUAGGGGAAUAAAUGAAAAGCUAACAAGCCCCCUAAGCUCUAUCAAGAAGGAAGUUCCCAGGUCAGAAUGGCUCAGCCCCUUGGAUAUAGGAAUGUCUCAACUGGAUGAUGCCUCACUUUCUGCUUGUGAACCAAUUAACUCAGAGGAUCUCAAUGAUGGACUCUCAGUUCCUAGCUGAGGCACUCUGCAACUUAUUUUUAAAGGCGCCUGGAAAAAAAUGUUCCUGCAUCUCUGGAGACCAAUCUGUAGGUAAUAAUCACUUGUGAGUCAAAGUUUUUCACGUCUAACCAAACUAUCUUUAACAAAGAUGAAAGUCUAAUUAUUUUUUUUUUUUCACAGUUCUUUCUACCAGUCCUCACGGUGAAUGCAGUAAGCAUACAUCCAGAGGUAGUCCCAAUUUCUUGCACUUUUUUCUUCUUCCAAAAGAGAGUAAAUCUAUAAUAAAAUUUGACGCAAUUUAUAGGCCUUUGUAAAACUUUGCCUGUCCUUAUAUUCACAAACUGGGGAAAAAAUUCUGUGACAAAAAGGAUGUUUGGCUUCAGAAAAACAUGGUCACUGCAUCUGUAGAAACAGGCAAGAGCCAACUCAAACUUAGAAUAAACCUACAAGCAUACCCAGAAAAAUCACAAAGAUGCUUCCAGCUCCCAAGUUCCAAGAUUCUUUAUUUUCUUCACAACAUUUAGUACAGUGUGUCAACCAUGCUACAGACUC